CCAGAACUCUGCACAAACAUUCUGGCAGUUUGAAACAGAGGCGUGGGGUGGGGAAGAAAGAAGAGGAGACAAAACAAGAGGUUUGGAAAGUUGAUCUACAAGUAAAACCUUCCAUGAGGUCUUAAAAAAAGAAGAAGAAAAGAAAGGUGUGCUGUGGGGAGAUGGAGAGGAGAACGCAGCGGCCUCCUUAUUUUGAGAUUUGCUGCAGCUGUGAGUGCCACUCCCCAGCCGGUUUCCUGGCUGCCGAGGGAGGCCAGUGGCCCAGCCUGGGUGACGUCAGGGCCUGGCCUGAGUCAUCGCCAGCAGCCGGGCUGCCCUGCCACUCGCAAGGGGACAAAAGGAACCUUUGAUGUCCAGAGGCCCUCCUCUCGGCACACUCUCCCGGGCCAGGAGAACAUUCCUGCUGCCUCCCCACCCCCUACUGCCCUUCCUACUUCCGGAACAGUCCAGACAGAUUCCACAAGGCCUCCCCAAAGGACAUCACCUUCCUGGGCAAGAGAGCCAUGGCUGCUCUCGGUCAAAGACAGAAGCAGGGAAGAAGAGGGUUUUCCUCUCUGUCCACUGCCUUCCUCCUUGUGGUGCCCACCUGACCCAGGAAAUCCAGUGGUGUUUAGAGAUGUGGAAAGGUGACACCAUUCUUGUCACAAUCCCUGGGCGGCAUCCAUGCUUGGUCGCUCUUCUCUGCCGCGUGCUAGAGCCAUAGGCCCCAGCUCCCUCUCUGAGUGCCAAUACCAGCCAGCUCUUCCUAGAUUUAAGGGGGUCCCCAUGUAUGGCAGGAGACUCAGCUACACAAAGAACGAAUAAAUGAUCAUUUUAAAAUAAAACAAUAGAGUACAUA